rnacentral:rRNA from 1 species
UCAAGUGAAGAAGCGCAUACGGUGGAUGCCUUGGCAGUCAGAGGCGAUGAAAGACGUGGUAGCCUGCGAAAAGCUUCGGGGAGUCGGCAAACAGGCUGUGAUCCGGAGAUGUCUGAAUGGGGGAACCCAGCCAUCAUAAGAUGGUUAUCUUGUACUGAAUACAUAGGUGCAAGAAGCGAACCAGGGGAACUGAAACAUCUAAGUACCCUGAGGAAAAGAAAUCAACCGAGAUUCCCUUAGUAGUGGCGAGCGAACGGGGACCAGCNCAAGAAGCGAACCAGGGGAACUGAAACAUCUAAGUACCCUGAGGAAAAGAAAUCAACCGAGAUUCCCUUAGUAGUGGCGAGCGAACGGGGACCAGCCCUUAAGUUGUAUUGAGAUUAGCGGAACGUUCUGGAAAGGACGGCCAUAGUGGGUGAUAGCCCUGUACGCGAAAAUCCCUUUGCAAUGAAAUCGAGUAGGACGGGGCACGAGAAACCUUGUCUGAAUAUGGGGGGACCAUCCUCCAAGGCUAAAUACUACUGACUGACCGAUAGUGAACCAGUACCGUGAGGGAAAGGCGAAAAGAACCGCGGAGAGCGGAGUGAAAUAGAUCCUGAAACCGUAUGCGUACAAGCAGUGGGAGCCCACUUUGUUGGGUGACUGCGUACCUUUUGUAUAAUGGGUCAGCGACUUAUUUUCAGUGGCGAGCUUAACCGAAUAGGGGAGGCGUAGCGAAAGCGAGUCUUAAUAGGGCGUCUAGUCGCUGGGAAUAGACCCGAAACCGGGCGAUCUAUCCAUGGGCAGGUUGAAGGUUGGGUAACACUAACUGGAGGACCGAACCGACUACCGUUGAAAAGUUAGCGGAUGACCUGUGGAUCGGAGUGAAAGGCUAAUCAAGCUCGGAGAUAGCUGGUUCUCCUCGAAAGCUAUUUAGGUAGCGCCUCAUGUAUCACUGUAGGGGGUAGAGCACUGUUUCGGCUAGGGGGUCAUCCCGACUUACCAAACCGAUGCAAACUCCGAAUACCUACAAGUGCCGAGCAUGGGAGACACACGGCGGGUGCUAACGUCCGUCGUGAAAAGGGAAACAACCCAGACCGUCAGCUAAGGUCCCAAAGUCAUGGUUAAGUGGGAAACGAUGUGGGAAGGCUUAGACAGCUAGGAGGUUGGCUUAGAAGCAGCCACCCUUUAAAGAAAGCGUAAUAGCUCACUAGUCGAGUCGGCCUGCGCGGAAGAUGUAACGGGGCUCAAACCAUGCACCGAAGCUACGGGUAUCAUCUUAUGAUGAUGCGGUAGAGGAGCGUUCUGUAAGCCUGUGAAGGUGAGUUGAGAAGCUUGCUGGAGGUAUCAGAAGUGCGAAUGCUGACAUGAGUAACGACAAUGGGUGUGAAAAACACCCACGCCGAAAGACCAAGGUUUCCUGCGCAACGUUAAUCGACGCAGGGUUAGUCGGUCCCUAAGGCGAGGCUGAAAAGCGUAGUCGAUGGAAAACAGGUUAAUAUUCCUGUACUUCUGGUUAUUGCGAUGGAGGGACGGAGAAGGCUAGGCCAGCCUGGCGUUGGUUGUCCAGGUUUAAGGUGGUAGGCUGAGAUCUUAGGUAAAUCCGGGAUCUUAAGGCCGAGAGCUGAUGACGAGUGUUCUUUAGAACACGAAGUGGUUGAUGCCAUGCUUCCAAGAAAAGCUUCUAAGCUUCAGGUAACCAGGAACCGUACCCCAAACCGACACAGGUGGUUGGGUAGAGAAUACCAAGGCGCUUGAGAGAACUCGGGUGAAGGAACUAGGCAAAAUGGCACCGUAACUUCGGGAGAAGGUGCGCCGGUGAGGGUGAAGCAUUUACUGCGUAAGCCCACGCCGGUCGAAGAUACCAGGCCGCUGCGACUGUUUAUUAAAAACACAGCACUCUGCAAACACGAAAGUGGACGUAUAGGGUGUGACGCCUGCCCGGUGCCGGAAGGUUAAUUGAUGGGGUUAGCGCAAGCGAAGCUCUUGAUCGAAGCCCCGGUAAACGGCGGCCGUAACUAUAACGGUCCUAAGGUAGCGAAANACGCCUGCCCGGUGCCGGAAGGUUAAUUGAUGGGGUUAGCGCAAGCGAAGCUCUUGAUCGAAGCCCCGGUAAACGGCGGCCGUAACUAUAACGGUCCUAAGGUAGCGAAAUUCCUUGUCGGGUAAGUUCCGACCUGCACGAAUGGCGUAACGAUGGCGGCGCUGUCUCCACCCGAGACUCAGUGAAAUUGAAAUCGCUGUGAAGAUGCAGUGUAUCCGCGGCUAGACGGAAAGACCCCGUGAACCUUUACUAUAGCUUUGCACUGGACUUUGAAUUUGCUUGUGUAGGAUAGGUGGGAGGCUUUGAAGCGUGGACGCCAGUCUGCGUGGAGCCAACCUUGAAAUACCACCCUGGCAACUUUGAGGUUCUAACUCAGGUCCGUUAUCCGGAUCGAGGACAGUGUAUGGUGGGUAGUUUGACUGGGGCGGUCUCCUCCUAAAGAGUAACGGAGGAGUACGAAGGUGCGCUCAGACCGGUCGGAAAUCGGUCGUAGAGUAUAAAGGCAAAAGCGCGCUUGACUGCGAGACAGACAAGUCGAGCAGGUACGAAAGUAGGUCUUAGUGAUCCGGUGGUUCUGUAUGGAAGGGCCAUCGCUCAACGGAUAAAAGGUACUCCGGGGAUAACAGGCUGAUACCGCCCAAGAGUUCAUAUCGACGGCGGUGUUUGGCACCUCGAUGUCGGCUCAUCACAUCCUGGGGCUGAAGCCGGUCCCAAGGGUAUGGCUGUUCGCCAUUUAAAGUGGUACGCGAGCUGGGUUUAGAACGUCGUGAGACAGUUCGGUCCCUAUCUGCCGUGGACGUUUGAGAUUUGAGAGGGGCUGCUCCUAGUACGAGAGGACCGGAGUGGACGAACCUCUGGUGUUCCGGUUGUCACGCCAGUGGCAUUGCCGGGUAGCUAUGUUCGGAAAAGAUAACCGCUGAAAGCAUCUAAGCGGGAAACUUGCCUCAAGAUGAGAUCUCACUGGAACCUUGAGUUCCCUAAAGGGCCGUCGAAGACUACGACGUUGAUAGGUUGGGUGUGUAAGCGCUGUGAGGCGUUGAGCUAACCAAUACUAAUUGCCCGUGAGGCUUGACCAU